rnacentral:rRNA from 1 species
GUACCUAAAGGGUCGGUAACCGUUAAGGAGCCGCCUAGGGUAAACUGGUGACUGGGGCU